rnacentral:rRNA from 1 species
GAGUAAGGUAGUAAGGGCGCACGGUGGAUGCCGUGGCACUAGAAGCCGAUGAAGGACGUUACUAACGACGAGAUGCUUUGGGGAGCUGUAAGUAAGCUUUGAUCCAGAGAUUUACGAAUGUGGGAACCCAGCACGAGUUAUGUCGUGUUAUCCGCAUGUGAAUACAUAGCAUGUGAGAAGGUAGACCCGGAGAACUGAAACAUCUUAGUACCCGGAUGAAGAGAAGGAAAAAUAGAUUCCCUGAGUAGCUGCGAGCGAAACGGGAAGAGGCCAAACUAACAAGCUUGCAUGUAGGGGUUGGAAAAAAACUUUAUGGAGUUAGAAAAGAAUGAUUUAA